GGGAGGAAAGCACAAGUGCUGUAGCCCCAAAAUGUUUGAUGCUUUUAUUUAUGUUUUUCAUUAAUUAUAUAGGUGUCACCAGAUGUGUUUUCCCUUCAACUCAGGGAAGUUUUUUCCAUGAUUCCAUUUCUCUAAGUUCGGCACAAUGGGAAGGAAUGAACGGUUAUUGGUUACUGAGGGUCUUCAGAGUGUAUGGGUGCAGGGAUAGUUGCAAUUGGUCGGAAAGGAUUCAAUGGGAGUGUUUUGGGCCAAACUAAGAAUGUGGAUUCUGACUGAUGGAGAUCAACCAAUCCCCUUUGUCUGUUGAGGAAACCCAACCAGACCCUCGUACUGGAGUCUCCAGACAAUCACAAGAAAGAUGUUCCCCCAAAGUGAGAUGCACUGCCUUUGGUGUUAAGGCCAAUAAUAAUUAUAUUUUGGGUUCACAUUUAUCUGUUGAAGAAACACAACCAAACCCCUAUUCUGGAGUCUCCAGACAGUCACAAGAAAGAUGUUCCCACAAAGUGAGACGCACAGCCUUUGGUGGUGAGGCCAGCAAUAAUAUUUUGGGUACACGUGUAUCUAUUGAAGAAACACAACUAGAGACCCAUUCUGGAUUCUUCAGAACAUUCAUAGGAAAGCCAUUCCCACAAAUGAGAUGCACAGCCUUUGGUGUUAAGGCCAAUAAUAAUUACCUUUUGGGAUCAAAUUUAUCUGUUGAAGAAACACAACCAAACCCCCAUUGUGGAGUCUUCAGACAAUAACCAAAAAUGAAGUGCACAGCCUUUGUUGAUGAGCCAAAUAAGCAUAUUGUAGAGACGCGUUUGUCUGUUGAAGAAACCAAACCAGACUCCUGUACUUGAGUCUCCAGAUAACCACAAGAAAUCUGUUCCCAUAAAAUGAGUUUGUAUAUUUUGGGGUAUGCGUAUCCCCCAUAGUGGAGCCACCAGGCAACCUCAAGUAAGCAUUUCCCACAAAAUAAGAAGCACUGUUUGUGUUGAUGUGAAUAAGAAUUAAGAAUAUUUAUGAUACGCAUUAGUGAUGUGCGGGUUGGGGUUAUUCUUGACCCGCACCUGACUCAAACCCAAUCUGAGCCCGCCUGCACCCACCUCCUCCCAUCUAUUUAUAGGCUCUACCCCACCAAUAAUGUCACAAAAGGGGCGGAGUGUGGUUGUGCGCGCCUAUAAAAACAGAAGCUGGAAGCCGGCAAAAGUAAGUGCUGAGGACGACCCAAACCUGCCUGACCCAUGGGUAAACCCGUAGGUGUCGAUUCAGCCUGCACAUCACUAGUACAUAUUUAUUUAAUCUACUUUGAUUGCGAUACAUACACAUGCCUGUUGAAGAAACACAAGCAGAUCCAGGUACUGAAGUUCCAUUGCAAGAAAACCUCUUCUCUACAUUCACAACUCUUUCUAUUGGGAUAUGCCAUACAACUGGCCUCAAAGCAGGUGCUUAUUUUUGAAUUCCAGGCUUGGAUACAAUAUUUGAUUGCAUAAAAACAGAGCCUCUUGUAGCUGCCAGUCCACAUAGGGGCUACCAAUAGUCAAUAUAGACAUUAUUUGGUACCCCUUGGAACUUUUUGCAUGUUUGUGUUGCUCUCCACGGGUGGCUUACGGGUAAAAAAAGACUGGGGAUCACUGCUCAAGGGUCUCAUCUUACAGACCAUUACCUUGAAACUCCACUCGUAGUAUUUUUCUGAAUGUGUUCUACUUUCAAAAAGAGGCAAUUUCUUAAGGGUUGUUCACCUUUGAAUUAAAUUUUAGUAUGAUGUAUUGAGUGAUAUUCUUAGACAAUUU